GACUCAGUAGCUCAGUUGGUAGAGCACAUCCCUUUUAAGGAUGGGGUCCUGGGUUCGAAUCCCAGCUGGGUCA
rnacentral:tRNA from 1 species